CAACUUGGUCGAACUUGGUUCAACCCGACUUAGAUCGAUAAGAAUUGAAUCAUCUCUAAACUUGGGUGGGUCAAAAACUAAAAACUCCGUUUUAGUUUUAACAUUGGAGAAGCAGCUAGUAGCAUAAACAAUACUCCACAACUAGGGAAAAAACUAUGGCAUCAGCAUCCGUCAGAGAAAAUGAAUUUCUAUGGAAAUCGGAGCCCUAAUUUGAAUCCCUCGUCUCCGUCACGCUCACACUCUCCAUCAUUUCUCCUUUCACUGCUUGUCCCACCAAACUCCACGACUCUAUUUCUUGACUCUCAUCGUAUUCUCCUUCUCCUACAACUGAUUUUCUCUAUGAUUCUCUAUUGUUCUUCCAUUAUUUUACUACCGACACCGCCAAUCACAAUCGUUCAUUCGAUCAACUACUUGUUCCAAUCAUCCACAACGACUCAAAGCACGGUGGCCAGGCUAUGAUUCUCCUCAACUGACUUUUUUAGGAUGAACUUAUUUUCGUACCUGUUAUUCAAUCCCUUGCUAGUAUCAUCGCUAGAAACCAUGAUCGUCAUUUGUUGUUUGGUUGGUGUAUCCUUCUUAGGAGCCUUUGUUAUUCGUUGUUUGGUUGGUGUAUCCUUCUUAGGAGCCUUGUAGAUUACGAUAGUUAUGUUCAUCAAUCUAUGCUCGGUGGAAUAAGGGAAAUACAUGUUGAUUUAUUGAAGAUACACUCAACUUGCCUUCCUGAUUUGGCAGGAAUUGCGACUAAAGAAAGGUAUUCUCCUUAUGGAUGAAUCACUUUUGCCUUACAAAUUAUGGUAGUAAUGUUGUUCAGUGUAAAAUUUUACUUAUAUAUGCAAUGUAUGUAGCCGAGAGAAUGUUGUGUAUUUGUUUGUGUAAUUAGUUACCUUCAAUAUGGGUUAGUCAAUAUGUUUUUCUUAUAUAUCAUUAAUCUAAGGCU